rnacentral:rRNA from 1 species
CCGAACACAGAAGUUAAGCUCUUUAGCGCCGAUGGUACUUGGUGGGAAGCUGCCUGGGAGAGUAGGACGUAGCCACGUA